rnacentral:rRNA from 1 species
GGGGGGGGGGGGGGGCGGGGCUGACAGAUGCGAGUCGAACGAGGCGGUCGGGGCUAGGGGCGCACGGGUGCGUGACGCGGGGGAACCGGCCCUUAGGUUCGGAAUACCUCCCCGAAAGGGGUGCUAAUACCGGAUAAUGUCUUCGGACCAAAGAUUUAUCGCCUUUGGAUGGGCCCGCGUUGGAUUAGCUAGUUGGUAGGGUCAAAGCCUACCAAGGCGACGAUCCAUAGCUGGUCUGAGAGGAUGAUCCGCCACACUGGGACUGAGACACGGCCCAGACUCCUACGGGAGGCAGCAGUGGGGAAUAUUGGACAAUGGGCGAAAGCCUGAUCCAGCAAUGCCGCGUGAGUGAUGAAGGCCUUAGGGUUGUAAAGCUCUUUUACCCGGGAUGAUAAUGACAGUACCGGGAGAAUAAGCUCCGGCUAACUCCGUG